GCAGCUAUGGCCGAGUGGUCUAAGGCGGUGGACUUAAGUUGUGUAUCGUUUACGAUCUGACUGAAACCCACUGGGAAACCGCGUGAGUUCGAACCUCACUGGCUGCA
rnacentral:tRNA from 3 species